UAGGGAAUCUUCCGCAAUGGACGAAAGUCUGACGGAGCAACGCCGCGUGAGUGAAGAAGGAUUUUGGUUCGUAAAACUCUGUUGUUAGGGAAGAAAAAAUGUAUAGUAACUAUAUACAAAAGAGACGGUACCUAACCAGAAAGCCACGGCUAACUACGUGCCAGCAGCCGCGGUAAUACGUAGGUGGCAAGCGUUGUCCGGAAUUAUUGGGCGUAAAGCGCGCGCAGGUGGUUUAGAAAGUCUGAUGUGAAAGCCCACGGCUCAACCGUGGAGGGUCAUUGGAAACUAAUAAACUUGAGUGCAGGAGAGAAAAGUGGAAUUCCUAGGGUAGCGGUGAAAUGCGUAGAGAUUAGGAGGAACACCGGUGGCGAAAGCGGCUUUUUGGCCUGCAACUGACACUGAGGCGCGAAAGCGAGGGGAGCAAACAGG
rnacentral:rRNA from 1 species